AGUUCCCCCCCACGAAGAACUUCCUUGGUGCCAUGAUGGGACGAGUACUGCUCUCUAGCGCAGACGCGAAGGAGACGGAAAGCAGGUUCAACUUCGCAUCAUCCUUGACCAGGACGGAUUGAUACAAAAAAAAAUCAAAGUGAUUUAAAUCAGCAAGCAGAAAACCUUGGUUGAAAAUCAUCCAUUUUAAUCUUGUUUUUACAUUUGUAUUUUUUAGUUAAUUUCCUAAAGAAAGAUUGAUUCUCAUUGAUUGGUAACCAUUAGAAAUAUGUUCAUUUGUAACUAAAUAUAACCUUUACCCUGAAUUUGAUACUUCUUUUUGCUAACCAAGAGAAUACACUGUAUCUAUACAUGUUCAUUUAAGCAGUUAUAUAGCUUAACAGUUAUUCAGAGUCUUAAUUUUUACAUUAUGCAUCAUUUACCAUUUUUAGCUUCUCUUUUUUGGUAGAUUACUUUUUUGCUUGUGAUUUCUGUCAAGUUGCAUUUGGAUAGAAGUUGGAAUUCAAUUUAAUGGGUACAAAACCAGCAUUUUAAAACUAUUUUGUGCUAGUUAAAUACAAUUACCUUAAAUGGAUAUAUAAGAAAAAAUAGGAAGUUUAUCACAACACACUUUGCCUUUAAAACUGAUUAAAGAAAGGAAGUAUUAUCUGUA